ACAAAUACAGAGAAUUUCGAUUCGGUUGAAGAUAGCCCAUUUGGUUUAGAUUUCAGCAUUAUACCCGAUUUUACUAAUAUUUUGGAAUUGGCUCCAGCCUAUUCCACAAAAAUGGAUGAUGCGACGGCUGACGGUAUUCUACGGGACAUAUUGAACAAACCUGAAUAUUGUCACAACGCCGCUAUACAGACCAGCAAUGUUGUUGAUGAGCGACCGUUUUCCCCCCACGCGACAGGGGGUCGGGCUAAAACAUUCGAAUAUAAAGCAGAUGAUGCGGUAGCAAGGCGAUAUGAUCCUACGAUACCAACAGGCCGUGAUACAGUCGCGCA